UCUCUUUCAGUCCUUAGCCACCUCCUUUCUGCCACACACUGAUUUGACAGGUGGUUCUGAACCUGUGGGCCGUGACCCUGGAUUGCAUAUCAAAGACCUGCAUUUCAUCGAUUUACAUUGUGAUUCAUUACAGUAGCAAAAUUAGAGUUAUGAAGUAGCAAAGAAAUCAUUUAGGGCUGGGGGGGUCACUACAACAUAAGGAACUGUACUAAGGGGUCGCAGCACCAGGAAGGUUGAGAACACUGCUCUAGGUAUCUCUCCACAUUCCCUCUCUAGGGAGCAGAGAGACCUAGUGUGGCACUCUCAUCCAUGACAUUCUCAAUGGAGGUUUACAAUGAGAACGAAGACAUGACCGUACUGUUUGCUUCUUAACUUUGUUCUUCGUUGCAAGCCCAAAGGAAAAGCCUAGUAAAAUAUCACAGGACUGAGUCACUGGGCCUCCAGCCUGCUCUAGCUCCUGGAGCCUCCCACACUGUGGCAGUAACAUGCGGGCUGGAUACUCUUCCAGACAUGCACUGCUUUUGAAGUGCAAACAGGCUUAAGACUUGGAAACUGGCCUUACUUUUUCCCUGGGAAGGAUAUUAGAUUGCAAAGGUGAUCAUAGGCUUAUGAAGAAACACAGAAAAGCAAUAGCCCAUGAGGCACAAACUUCAUAUCUUCAACCAAGACUUCGAAUCUCUACUUAACUUCAUGGUCAGCCAAGCCUUAUUGCUGUUUAUGAUUCAUUCCUAGCAAAUGCUCCCUGCCCAGCACUGCUCAGCAAGCCAUAUUUUGCUGAGAGUUUUCAAUGUUGGGGAACAAAGACUGCUAAGGGGGAACCUAAUGUAACAGAAGACUGCCAGGAUGCUGCUGCUAGCCAUGGUCUUCCAACUUUACUUUGUUCUCAUCUUCUAUAUGAAUAAGAUAUAUGUGUGUGUUUCUGUAUUUAUGGAUAUAGAGUAUGUUGUUAUUCACACACGCUUCUGAAUUUGAUUCUGCCCCAUGGGACACAGGUAUCCAUAGGUAAGACUGUAUUCCAGGAAGCAGAUAAACAGGAUGCUGCCAGGGUUGUUUUCUUAGACAACACUACUUUAUUACAAAGCAGCCAUUAGGCAUAACAUUCACAGACCUACUUGUUCAUGGAGUAAACAUAGACCUUUUUGGACAGGGAGAGAAGGUAGAAAAGGAGGCACAACUGGAUGCCAAGGGAGUUACUGGGGAAGGAGUUAGAAGGUCUUUGGAGUUAGUGUCUUAGCCAGUGUUCUAUUGCUGUGAAGAGACAUAAUGACCAUGGUAACUCUUAUAAACAGAAGCAUUUAACUGGGGCUGGCUUCCAUUUAGAGGUUUAGUCACUUAUCAUCAUGGCAGGAAGCACGGUGGCAGAGGAAGCAGAGGCUGGAGAGGUAGCUGAGAGUCCUAUAUCUGGAUAGGCAGGCAGCAGAAAUCGAGAGAGAAAGGGACACUGGGCCUGGCUUGAGCAUUUGAAAUCUCAAAGCCCACCCCACAGUGACACACUUCUUCCAACAAGGAGACACCUACCUCAAUAAGGUCACACCUAAUCCUUUCAAGUAGUGCCAUUCCCUGUGACCAAGCAUUCAAAUCUGUGAGCCUAUGGGAGCCAUUUCUAUUCAAAACCACUUUAGUUAGACAACUCAGCCCUUCCCUUUCUGACCCCACAGGGUCAGAUGGAGGAGAAGGAGGCCUGCUGAAUCUCCUGCAGUCAUCACUUCAGACAUAACUAAACAUGAUCCUCCUCCCAGCUUUUAGUCAUAUAAUGACAUACUUAAGGCAAGCUUC
rnacentral:lncRNA from 1 species